UUCAGUAACAGCUUUUAACCACACUGGAUUGUUAGCCUACCAAGAUUCUCCUAGUGAAUAUCUGGAUUUCUCUGCAUAGUGAGCAUGAGGAUCAACUGUACAAGUUUGAAAAACUGCAUUUUUUUCUCAGCCAUUCCAGUGAUGAGUUAUAUUUCCUUUGUCUACAUCUACUUCUGUAGACUGGAUUUCAGCUGGGAGGUGUCAGUAAAAUGGUGACAGAGACCAUGGAACAUCACCCUUACAUCCAGUAAAAAGUACUACCAAAAGAGUUACAGUACAAGAGAGGUUUCAUGAACAUGACUGGGGAGGCACCAGCAUCCAAUACCACUCAGCAUGAAAUUGCACAGACCAUACUGACUAC